CGGUGUCGGCGUCGACGUUGGUUCGCCGCGGGCUAGAAAAUCGCCUUUUGUCCCUUGGAAUGUUAAUAAUUACUCAUGCAAACGAGCCGUACGGAGUCGAGCCGGAUCGCGGACUCGCAACCGUGCUAGCAUUCACUGCGCGCAUCGGAAGUGCCUCUAUCCCAGUAGUCGGCCAGAAUUAUUUUUCAGAAAAUUUACGCUCGAAAAUAGGUUCGGGUACCGGGCCUCGUAUUUCAUCCAGAGCUCAUGGACCGUGUCUGACCGGAACAACUGUCCGCUAGUUCGUUAAUUUGUUUCAACGGUGACGGCCCGACAGAGAAAUAGGGAAAUAGGAAAAUAGCGUUUCUUCGGAUAAGCCAGUUACUGCAGCGUUUUUGACGCCGCGACGCACAACGCGGAGUGAAUUCUAUCUACGAUCUGUUGUGACAGUUGAGCGAUAGCGUAAUAAGUUUUAUCGAAUCGGAACCGGUCUCGUUUCGCGCGGACGCGCGUCCAUCUCGGAAACGAUAGUCGCCAUUGCGACGAGCCAGCUCGCAACGAGGACAAGAAAUCAAAUUAUACAUAAAGAUCGAAGAUCGAUGAAUGGGCUGGGACCUGGCAAGCGGGAACCUGCCCCGCCAUCCGAACAAGACGCUUCGCUGCGCGUCUUCCUUUUGCUUCUCGCCUCGAACCCUUCUGCUGCGCUCUCGUCUUUCUUGCAAUCGUUCAAUGAAAACAAUCUUUUGCUUCGAAAGAACGAAAAGGGAACGAGACUGGAAAGGAUGCAGGUAUCGCGUUUCCUUUCGCAAACAGUGAUACGAAAGCAGCGAAUUAUCUUGACUACCCACGGAUUACGAGUAGAAAGGGUAAGGAGAAGGAAAGCUCCCCAACGCCAACGCCAACACCGACGCCGAUGCCGCGCCGACGCGAUUCGGGGCCAUUAGCAAAAUUACACGACGUAAAACGCGUUUGCCGGCCCUUUCCGUACGACAUUUUUCUUCGCCCAUUGGCCGAAAAAUGACACACAUCACUCGAAACCAAUAUACACGACCCGCAAGAAACUCCGUGAUCCCCAUGUGUUGAUUAGAAACGCAUACCGCUCACCUGUU